rnacentral:rRNA from 1 species
CUAAUACAUGCAAGUCGAACGAAAUCCAUUCAGUGGCAACACUGAUGAAGAUUUAGUGGCGAACGGGUGCGUAACACGUGAGCAACCUGCCCCGGAGACCGGGAUAACAGUGGGAAACCGCUGCUAAUACCGGAUGUCCCCACGAAUCUCGCAUGGGAUUGUGAGGAAAAGGAUUCCGCUCCGGGAGGGGCUCGCGGCCUAUCAGCUUGUUGGUGGGGUAACGGCCUACCAAGGCAACGACGGGUAGCUGGUCUGAGAGGACGAUCAGCCACACUGGGACUGAGACACGGCCCAGACUCCUACGGGAGGCAGCAGUGGGGAAUAUUGCGCAAUGGGCGAAAGCCUGACGCAGCGACGCCGCGUGGGGGAUGAAGGCCUUCGGGUUGUAAACCCCUUUCAGCAGGGACGAAGCGAAAGUGACAGUACCUGCAGAAGAAGCGCCGGCUAACUACGUGCCAGCAGCCGCGGUAAU